rnacentral:rRNA from 1 species
CACGUAGGGUGCGAGCGUUGUCCGGAAUUAUUGGGCGUAAAGAGCUCGUAGGCGGUGUGUCGCGUCGGCCGUGAAAACCUGCAGCUUAACUGUGGGCUUGCGGUCGAUACGGGCAUCACUGGAGUUCGGCAGGGGAGACUGGAAUUCCUGAUGUAGCGGUGAAAUGCGCAGAUAUCAGGAGGAACACCGGUGGCGAAGGCGGGUCUCUGGGCCGAUACUGACGUGAGGAGCGAAAGCGUGGGGAGCGAACAGGA